CCCAAACGGCCCAAACAGCCCAACAAAAGGCUCAGGAGACGGCCCAGGCAGCGAAAGAGAAGACAUCUCAAGCUGCCCAAACGACGCAGCAAAAGGCGCAUGAAACAACACAGGCAACAAAAGACAAGACCUCUCAAGCUGCCCAAACGACCCAGCAAAAGGCUCAUGAGACGACCCAAGCAGCAAAAGACAAGACAUCUCAAGCUGCUAAGACGGCCCAAGAAAAGGCCCAUGAGACGAAGGACAAAACCGGAAGUUACAUGUCCGAGACAGGAGAAGCCAUAAAGCAGAAGGCUCAAAACGCUGCUCAGUACACAAAGGAGACGGCUCAAGAAGCGGCUCAGUACACGAAAGAGA
rnacentral:lncRNA from 1 species